rnacentral:rRNA from 1 species
UAGGGAAUAUUGGACAAUGGGCGAGAGCCUGAUCCAGCAGCGCCGCGUGUGCGAUGACGGCCUUCGGGUUGUAAAGCACUUUUAGAGGAGAUGAGAAAGGACAGUAUCCUCUGAAUAAGCCUCGGCGAACUACGUGCCGGCAGCCGCGGUAAAACGUAGGAGGCUAGCGUUAUCCGGAUUUAUUGGGCGUAAAGCGCGUGCAGGCGGUUUAUCAAGUUGGAUGUGAAAGCUCCUGGCUUAACUGGGAGAGGUCGUUCAAAACUGAUAGACUAGAGAAUGGUAGAGGGAGGUGGAAUUCCGGGUGUAGUGGUGAAAUGCGUAGAUAUCCGGAGGAACACCAGUGGCGAAAGCUGCCUCCUGGGCCAUUUCUGACGCUAAGACGCGAAAGCUAGGGUAGCAAACGG